rnacentral:rRNA from 1 species
UGAGGAAUAUUGGUCAAUGGACGAGAGUCUGAACCAGCCAAGUAGCGUGAAGGAUGAAGGCUCUAUGGGUCGUAAACUUCUUUUAUAUGGGAAUAAAGUGAGCCACGUGUGGCUUUUUGUAUGUACCAUAUGAAUAAGGACCGGCUAACUCCGUGCCAGCAGCCGCGGUAAUACGUAGGGGGCAAGCGUUGUUCGGAAUUACUGGGCGUAAAGCGCACGCAGGCGGCGUGACGCGUCAGAAGUGAAAUCCCCGGGCUCAACCUGGGAACUGCUUUUGAAACGGUCAUGCUUGAAUCAUGGAGAGGGUAGCGGAAUUCCGAGUGUAGAGGUGAAAUGCGUAGAUAUUAGGAGGAACACCAGUGGCGAAGGCGGCUUACUGGACUGUAACUGACGCUGAGGCUCGAAAGUGUGGGUAGCAAACA